rnacentral:lncRNA from 1 species
CGGAGCCCGUGAUGGGAAGCCACGUCAUGCCACACGAAUGUCCUUCCUCUGACCUUCAUCUCUGAGACCGCAAGGCAGGGAAGCCACCGUAAUCCACCUUACGUAACCAGAACUUGACACAGAAGGAAAACAUAUUCCAGAAACACAACAGCCACGGGCAUAGCAGGAAGGUAGAGCCUUUCACAG